UACGGAAGGCAGCAGUGGGGAAUAUUGCACAAUGGGCGCAAGCCUGAUGCAGCCAUGCCGCGUGUAUGAAAAAGGCCUUCGGGUUGUAAAGUACUUUCAGUCGUGAGGAAGGUGUUAAGGUUAAUAACCUUAGCAAUUGACGUUAGCGACAGAAGAAGCACCGGCUAACUCCGUGCCAGCAGCCGCGGUAAUACGGAGGGUGCGAGCGUUAAUCGGAAUUACUGGGCGUAAAGGGCACGCAGGCGGUUAAUUAAGUUGGAUGUGAAAUCCCCGGGCUUAACCUGGGAAUGGCAUUCAAGACUGGUUAGCUAGAGUCUUGUAGAGGGGGUAGAAUUCCAUGUGUAGCGGUGAAAUGCGUAGAGAUGUGGAGGAAUAACCGGUGGCGAAGGCGGCCCCUGGACAAAGGACUGACGCUCAUGUGCGAAAAGCGUGGGGAGCAAAACAGGGAUUAGAUACC
rnacentral:rRNA from 1 species